rnacentral:rRNA from 1 species
UCAGGAUGAACGCUAGCGACAGGCCUAACACAUGCAAGUCGAGGGGCGAGCACAAGGAGCAAUCUGAGGUGGCGACCGGCGCACGGGUGAGUAACACGUAUGCAACCUGCCUGUAAGCGGGGAAUAACCCGUUGAAAGACGGACUAAUACCGCAUAAUACUAAAUUACUGCAUGGUAAUUUAUUUAAACAUUUAUGGCUUACAGAUGGGCAUGCGCAUGAUUAGCUAGUUGGAGAGGUAACGGCUCCCCAAGGCAACGAUCAUUAGGGGUUCUGAGAGGAAGGUCCCCCCACACUGGUACUGAGACACGGACCAGACUCCUACGGGAGGCAGCAGUGAGGAAUAUUGGUCAAUGGACGAGAGUCUGAACCAGCCAAGUCGCGUGCAGGAAGAAUGUCCUAUGGAUUGUAAACUGCUUUUGCAGGGGAAUAAAGUGCAUCACGUGUGAUGUUUUGUAUGUACUCUGCGAAUAAGGAUCGGCUAACUCCGUGCCAGCCGCCGC